GUAUUGAGUAAAAUGGAACUCUUAAGAUCUUUAGGUUAUAUGUUCAAAUCUUAUCUCAAACA
rnacentral:tRNA from 1 species